rnacentral:lncRNA from 1 species
UAUAAAUGACAUUUCUUAGACUUUGGUGCCUUAACCUCUCUGCACCCCAUGUGUAAAGUGGGUUAAUAAGAGAACUGCUACCUUGUAAGGUGUUGAGAGGAUUAAACGGGGUAACAUGUAAAACCCUCAAUGCAAUGUCUGCUCCUAAACUCUUCAGUGAAUAAGAGCUGUUACCGUCAUCAUUAUCAUCAUCAGUAUUACUAGUGGAAGGUCUUUCCAGGAGCCCAGAAUUAUAUACCUGGCUGUGCUGUUGCUAACAGUUGCUCUGGAUAUGUUGCUGAACUCCUAAACUUCAGGAUUCUUUUCUCUAAAACGAGGGAGUUGUCCAGAUGCCUCUAGUGCAAACGUUCUGCCCCAUCUGCAGCAUGCUUUGUUUCUCAUCAGGCCUGAGCGAUGCCAUCCGGGCUGCAAGGGUUUGAGUCCCCUUUUCCAGUAAGGACCUAUAGUGGCUCUGCCAGAUGUUGGCCCUGCUAACCUUCGCUUUUCUUUGCUUGAUUUUAUGUUCGUAGUGUAGCUUUCUUUUUCUGGCUCUGCCAAGUGACUCCUCAUGGUUUUAUAUUUUUUUCUAGUGUAUUCAGACUAUAGGUCUGGCAUUGGAGUUAAGUCUUAGCUAGGGAGAGCCUCACACAUAGGGGAUAUUACAAGUAAGGGUGAGCACAUCACUUUGCUGUUGACUUUUUAAAUAUGUUUGUGUUUGUACCUGUGAUACUUCUCAACCCAAGUACUGGAGACUGCCUAUAUCUGAGGCUGGCCAUUGAGAGCCACUCAUGAGAAAGGAAUGGCUUUUCUGGAUCCAUAAUAAGCCACUUUCUUGCUUUGUUUCCUUCUUUGCCUUGGUUUUAGUUCGAACUUUUAAAGAGCUCACCAGAGCUCAUCUUGGUGUAGUUUUAUAUUUUGCACAUGCAUCUUUGUUAGCCCCUACUUUUGCAAAAGAUGGAGCUAUGGAGUUAAUCUCUGGUCUGCCAUUGAUGUUUUAGGUUUAUCUUGUUCUCUUGGACAGGCAUGCACAAUGAAUUAAUUGAGUUGUUUUCAGCCCACUUCCUGCCUAAUUGAACACCUGCCCAGUGAAUGCUGCCAAGUUGCUUGCCUAUUACCUGAUUUGCCAGCCAUUCCUGUCAUGUCAGUGUCUUGCUUGUAUGCAAAGACUCAGUCUUGUCAUUUGUAGUUCACUUUCUGUGUUCUUCAGAUAACUUUUUUUUUUUUUUCAUGUAAUUUAAAGGCACUCUUGCAUCCUCCUUUGUUACAGUCCCUCUGCAUUCCCAUCUUGCCACUGUCCUCCCGGUUAAGAUCAUUACUGACUAGGCCUCAUAAAAAUGCUGAAACACCAGAUGCAGGACAAGGGCAUAUGUGCACCCUGGGUUGGUUCUGAUGCUUGCGUAUCUUUCCCUUGGUCCCAGGCUAAGUUUCCAGCAAGCCAUUCUAAAGUAGUGCUGACAGUUUAGAACUAAUUAGAAAUAGUCUUUUAAGGGUUGGGACACAAGAUGGUUUUUAAAAGAGUGCUGUGAUUUUUUGACAUUAGAGACUUGUAUCUUUCCAAAGAGAAGAGUGGUCUUACUAAAAAUGAGAACCAGGGCGGGAAUUCAGCCUUCUCUGAUCACAGAAAGCCGCCCCUGUUAAUGGCCUGUGCUUGUCCUCUUGACUGUUUUCUUUGGUUGAAAAGUCUUAUAGCCAGUCACAUGGCUCCUAGUGGAGCCCUGGCUUAGGUGUAAUUUUUUUGUUAAAAAUAUCCUGGAGAUACAGCAGCCCCUUCUUAGUUAUUUGGUAGAAUUACAUAUC